AUUGAACGCUGGCGGCAUGCCUAACACAUGCAAGUCGAACGGCAGCACGGUUGCUGGUUCCUGUUGGCGAGUGGCGAACGGGGGAGGAAGACAUAGGAACAGGACCUGACGUUGUGGAUAGCCAGGAGAAAGCCGGACUAACACUGCUAACGCAUACCGCCUGAAAGCGGGGGAACUGCGUGUUCCGCGCUAGAGCGAUUGCCGAUGGCGAUUGCGGAAUAGCUAGUUGGAGGGGUAAAGGCCUACCAAGGCGACGAUCCGUAGCUGGUCUGAGAGGACGACCAGCCACACUGGGACUGAGACACGGUCCAGACUCCUACGGGAGGCAGCAGUGGGGAAUAUUGGACAAUGGGCGAAAGCCUGAUCCAGCAAUGCCGCGUGUGUGAAGAAGGCCUUCGGGUUGUAAAGCCCUUUUGUCCGGAAAGAAAUCCUUCGCCCUAAUACCGUGGGGGGAUGACGGUACCGGAAGAAUAAGCACCGGCUAACUACGUG
rnacentral:rRNA from 1 species